rnacentral:rRNA from 1 species
GACGAACCGUGCGAACGUUGUUCGGAAUCACUGGGCUUAAAGGGCGCGUAGGCGGCUGCGCAAGUCAGGGGUGAAAUCUUUCGGCCCAACCGGAAAAGUGCCUCUGAUACUGCGGAGCUCGAGGGGGAUAGGGGCGGACGGAACUUCCGGUGGAGCGGUGAAAUGCGCUGAUAUCGGAAGGAACGCCGGUGGCGAAAGCGGUCCGCUGGGGUCCCCUACUGACGCUGAGGCGCGAAAGCCAGGGGAGCAAACGGGG